rnacentral:rRNA from 1 species
GACGAACGCUGGCGGCGUGCUUAACACAUGCAAGUCGAACGGAAAGGCCUUUUCGGAGGUACUCGAGUGGCGAACGGGUGAGUAACACGUGGGUGAUCUGCCCUGCACUCUGGGAUAAGCCUGGGAAACUGGGUCUAAUACCGGAUAGGACCGCACUUUAGUGUGUGUGGUGGAAAGUUUUUUCGGUGUAGGAUGAGCCCGCGGCCUAUCAGCUUGUUGGUGGGGUAAUGGCCUACCAAGGCGGCGACGGGUAGCCGGACUGAGAGGUUGGUCGGCCACAUUGGGAUUGGGAUACGGCCCAGACUCCUACCGGAGGCAGCAGUGGGGAAUAUUGCACAAUGGGCGCAAGCCUGAUGCAGCGACGCCGCGUGGGGGAUGACGGCCUCCGGGUUGUAAACUCCUUUCGCCAGGGACGAAGCGUUUUGUGACGGUACCUGGAGAAGAAGCACCGGCUAACUACGUG